UGAGAACUGCGCAGGUGCACCAGG
rnacentral:misc_RNA from 1 species